rnacentral:pre_miRNA from 8 species
GGACAUCUGACAGACAAGGCUUUGGCCUGGUUCAAGUAAUCCAGGAUAGGCUUGUGAUGUCCGGAAAGCCUAUUCGGGAUGACUUGGUUCAGGAAUGAGACCACCAGCAUCAUAAACGAG